UUUUUUUUUUUUUUUAAGGAAAGGAUGCAACAUUCCUCCAGUCCCACCAGAACCUCUGCUUUGAUUAAAUAAAUAUUUCUCUAGCCUUACGGUAAUGCUUUUCACUUUCUGUUCGGGUCCAUCUGCGAUUAUUAUUUAAAAUUUUUAUUUCCAGCAGCUUUUCCCUCCCCAUUCCAGCCCUAGCGAAAAAUGUAGAUGAUUGCUGGGAACGUGGGAUUUGAAUUUUAGGAGGAGGUGAACCAGUAACAAGCCUCUAUCCAGGCUUCAGGAAUAUGUUUUUUUUUUCUCCUUCUGUAAGAGGCUAUUUUAUUACUAGCAGAAACGCAGCUGAAUUAAAUCAUCUGUCUUGAAAAUCUAAAGAAGCUUUUUCUUUUUUUUUUCUUUUUCUUUUUUUUUUUAAUUUUUUUUUCUUUAUUUUCAUAACACAAAUAAUUAACUUCCCAGUUUGUUUCAUAGCUCUGAACAAGGAAUGCAGUUGCGGUCAGUUUUUCCAUUUUGGAGAACCUUAAUGUAGAUGUAUUUUAUACUGCAAGGUAAUAAACUGCAUGUUUGUUAGUAAGUAUUUUAAUGAAAUGUCUUGAGCUAUCCCUAUUUCUUAAUGUGGGGGUUGUCAUUUGGAAUCCCUUUAAGUGGCAUGGGGGUGAAGAAAGAGGAUGGGUGAUUAGGAAUUUGGCUGUACUGUUGAUGCAUUGAGGAAAGUGUCUUGCUUUUGAGAGACAGUCACAGGUUUUUAAGACUUAGGGUUUGAUAGGUGACACAGUUCUGUGGAUGUUGUACCUGCAGCCCUGGUGUGCCCGGUGAUCCCGGUGUGCUGUGUGUGAGUCCUGGUGGUUGGAUUGACUCCAAUAGGAGACCAGUUUGCCUUUAAAAGCUACCCUUAAAAAUCUGUCAGUCCCUGCUCAAUAUAUGUCUGGCUUUAUGGAAGAAUAAUUGUUAAUGUACUUGCCCUUAAAAAAACCAAAAAAAAACAAACAAAAAAAACCCUAAACCCAAACCCUAACAAAAACAAUACCAAGCAAAAAAAAAAAAAAAAAAAGAAAAGAAAAAAAAAAAAGAAAACCAAAAACCAACCAACCCCCAAACCACGGAGCCCUGGGGGAAGCGGAAUUUUUCAGGGCUGCUCACAGUGCGCUGUCUGGGAAGGUGCGUGUAAUUUGUAACUGUUUGCUGAACAUGAACCAAACGUGGGUUGAGGAUGAAGUUGAGGCGAGAAUAAAGUAACCCUUGUCUUUAGCACUUGGGAUAACUUAGAAGUGCCUCUUUUCUCCAGAAAACAGCGUGGAUCCAGUGGCCCGGGCUGCGAGUGGGUGCUGCCUGCGGCCAAAUUUUUUGCAGAGCAAAGCAAAAGGAAACGUGUGGGGAAGUUGGGGAGCAAAGGAGCAACUGUGGAUGCUCCAGAAAUAGGCACCUCCGCAGGGACGUGUGCGGGCGCGGGCUGGAGCCAUGGAUGUUGUCUCUGUGCUUGCAUCGUGAAUUCUGGCUGUGUGCUGCUGUCCUCUAAUUUCCCAUGACAACAUAUGGAUCCCAUAAAGGCAAACAUGCCGGAGUGCAUCUGUCUGGGUAGUUAACACAAACCAAACAUCCCCCUGCUCGGCGAUCCCGCUGCUCCUCUGGCCGCGCCGCGCGGAGCCCUCCUGCGACAGCCCCUCGCUGCUCCGGCAUUCCCCGUCACGCUCCCGGGGUGAGCCCGACUGCCCCGGGAGGGAGGAGGGCAGCAGGCGCCAGCUCAGGGGAGCGGAGGGGUUAAGCGGGGAGAGGGGCGCGCGCCCUGCGGCCCCCCACCCUCCUGGGAGCUGGUCCAGCCUGAGCAGGCUCUGCCCUGGGGUCAAGUCCUAGGACAUCUUCCCUCCACUCCUGGCAAGGCAAGAGCUGAAACUGGGAAGGGAAACAGCCAGAUGAGCGGAUGGCAGAGAUUCGCCCCUCUUCCUGGAUGCAGCCGUCCGGGGGCUGGGGAAUAGGAGAGUUCCCAGUUUUCCAAGGUGCAAAAAGAGGUGGUGAGGGGAGGCUGUGUGUGAAAAGAAGGGAAGGAGCAAGUGACGGCCGCAGGACCAGCGGAUAAACCACCACGCAAACACCGAAAUGCAGCCAAGGAAUUAAGGGAUAAUUCGUACAGAAAUUGUUAGGUAUGAUUACAUGUAUGUGCAUGCGUGUCUCCUCUAGAAAAUUUGCUUUCCAUAAGAUUUCUUUGUUCUAGGCAAAAAGACAAUCUGGUUGCUAAAAUAUAAGAAGGGGCUUCCCUUGCUUUAAUUAGAAAUCUUGAUACAGCCUCAUCUGCAAUUGUGCGGGUGCCUCUCGUUUCUAUACGUGUAUCUCUGCACACGCAUAGAUGGGAUUUUGGGUUCAAAUAGCUUUUAAUGUGCUUAGCAGAAAGAAGCUCUCAGUAUUAGAUCUGCAGGGAAAGUAAGACUGAUUUUUCCCAUAGGAAACUUGUUAAAGACACAGUUGAAUUAUUAGAUCAACCCGUUUUUUUGUCUCACGGUACAUCUGAUGUAUUUGUGCAUAGAAUCGUAUAGUUUCAUUUCUGUUAUUUUGAACAGAUGGAACGAAUAGCGGCGCUUUAAAGUUAUUGUUUGUAAAAAUGUACACAAAUUAAGAGGAACAACUUUGAAGCAAAAUGUUCCUCCGAGGCAGCGCGUAUGGCUUUCUGGACAGGACUCUCGGCAAAGAUGGUUGUUAUCUCUCACAUGUAAAACAGGGGUGGGCAGCUCCAGUUUCCUGGGUUCUCCCCUGGAGACACGACCUGGCUGCCAGGGGCUCGGGAGCAGCUCCCUGAGGCUGGGAUGGGUCAGAUUUGCGUGGGGCUGUGGUGACAGCACUUGGGUGAAUUUUUAGGGAGCCACAAGCAUAUUCCGUUGCUCGCCGCCUGACAUGGGGGGACCGGGCCAAGGCUCUGCGAUGCCAGAGGCCGAUGGUGCACAAGGGGCUGAUGUAUGGGCAUAGCCUGGAAUAUUUUUUUUUUUUACUAUCUUUUUAAAUUCAAGCUUUAAAAAUUAUUGGUGGGAGAGGGGAGAUCUAGCUUAGAAAAAAAAUCUCCAUAAUAUCAUCCACUUCCACAGCUCUGUGCUUCUUGGAAAUGUGUCUGAAGAAUCAGAACAAAGCAUGGAAGGCCAGAGUCCUUGAAGGAGCUCCAAAUGAUAAAGUCUGCCAUUCAUUUUAAACACAGCGUGCAUUGUGGAAACACAGGUCAAUUUGAAGGCAUUUGUCAGAUUUCCAGUUCCCUCUGCUCCUUUGCAAUGGAAAUUUGCAAUCAAAUCCCUGUGCUGGAGUUGGGAUGUCUGCCUUGAUCAGUUUGUAUGACUUUAUGCCCAAAGCACUGGCCAGGCCAUAACACAAGAGGAGUGGAUGUGUUUGCCAUGGAAAUAAACACUUGGAAUACAUCUAUAUGUUUCUUGGCUUUUUGAGAGAAAUGAAGAAAAAAGUCUUGGCAUUUAAUUAGGAGUCACUAACCUGAUAAAUAUUGAACAUCAUUUCUUUGUGAGCUGCUCCCUGUGCUCGGAGUACUCCAUGGAUGUAUUCCACAAUUGCACUUGUUUAAUGCCUGUAUCACCUCAUGCCUAUUGUAUUUAUGUUGUCAUCAAUGUCAGAUUUUAAUUAAACAAUUAAAUCACUGUCA